UGAUAGGGUUUAUAUGUUUGCUGUCGUUUUACGGUUGUCUUGAUGGAGAUGCGACCACCGAGCCAAACGAGCCCGUGGAAAGAAUAAUUCAAUCUAGAAGGAACAACGCUGAGCACAAUUCUAAUUCAAUUCUCAGCACUCCUGUUUUUCAAUAAAGCAAAGUUCAGUUUUCAUACUUGGAUAUUGGUUUGCUGUUUAUCUUUCAUAUAGUUACGAAGAUAUAUGUAAGAGAAAGAUAUGGACAACAAUAAAAAAUAAUCCUCUACAA